UUAUAAAAAUUUAAAAUAAUUACUGAAAAAUUAAUAGUUAAAUUCUUUAAAUUUAAAAAAUUUGGCGGUAUUUUAUUCUUAUUAGAGGAACCUGUUUUUUAAUUGAUAAUCCACGAUUAAUUUUACUUAUUUUAAAAAUUCAUAUAUCGCUGUCAAGAAUAUAUUAAAAAAUUUAUUUUCAAUUAUUAUUAUUUUAAUUUAUGUUAAGUCAAGAUAUGGUAAAUAAAUAAGAACUAAAUGGGUUACAUUAAAUUUAAUUUUUAGAUAUAUUAUUUGAAAUUUAAUUUGAAAUUGGAUUUAAAAGUAAUUUAAAUUAUAUAAUUUAUUUGAAAAUAGAUCUAAAAUAUGUACAUAUUGCCCGUCAUUCUUAUUAAAUAUAAGACAAGUCGUAACAAAGUAAAUGUACUGGAAAGUGUAUUUAGAUAGAU
rnacentral:rRNA from 1 species